rnacentral:tRNA from 1 species
GGAGGCGUGGGUGAGUGGUUGAAAUCACCGGUUUCGAAAACCGGCAUACCCGAAAGGGUAUCGGAGGUUCAAAUCCUCCCGCCUCCGCAA